UGGUGGAGGGCUUGGUGGUGGAGGUGGACUUGGUGGCGGUGGAGGAGCUGGUGGAGGGGCAGGAGGUGGCAUUGGCGGUGGUGGAGGACUUGGAGGUGGAGGCGGUGGAGGAUUUGGUGGAGGUGGUGGCGCUGGAGGAGGCUUUGGAGUUGGUGGAGGUUUUGGCAAAGGUGGCGGUGUUGGUGGUGGAGUAGGUGGAGGUGGUGGAUUUGGUGGAGGUUUUGGUGCCGGUGGUGGUGCUGGGUUUGGCGGUGGAGGUGGUUUUGGAGCUGGGGGGGGCGGCCACUAGAGUUGAUUAAAAUGUGACAUUAUAUUACUUAUUACGUACUUUGCUCCCAUGAGAAAAACAAGUAGUUGGAUAUAUGCUGCUUGGGUCAUUCCAAUUCAUCCGAAUAUAUAUUAUUAAACGAAGUUGAGGGAAUUGAAAAAGACAUAUUCUAGUGUUUAGUUAAAUGGAAACAGCAUUUUGUUUUCGUUAUAGCAUUGUUCUUAAUCUUCCAUCCAUGGUAAGCUUGUAUAAACAUCCGGGAUAAAUUUCAAUAACUAUUCAUGAACUUAUAUGGUUGUAAUAUUA
rnacentral:misc_RNA from 1 species